AUUAUGCAAAGCCUAUGCAUAAUAUUAACCUAUAAUAUUAAGCCCAUGCAAAUUGCCCAUGAUCAUUGUUUCACUUAUGUACAGGUAUGGCCUGUUUAAUUUUGUUAAGUCUAUUGUUAUUAUCUUGCCCGUUGCUUUUAUAUUCCUUCCAUUUAUAUCACGUUUUCUUAACCUAAUUUAUUCAUCACUUAAACCUAACCCUAGCCGUCAAUUUUAUCUCAAAACCUCUAAAACAUCGCUGUUCAAAUCAUCCUCUUUAUGCUCGUGAAAUUAGCGUUAUAUUUGGAUCCGUCUUGUCCCUGUGAUACUAGACUCACGCCUCUACGAUUCUCAACUUCGUUUUCUCAUUCGACUCUUCGACUACUCGCGCUCCGGAGUCGAAACAGGGUUAGCUGUUUGCCAAGAUCACGUGGAUAAGCAAGCUGGUUAUGAUCUGAGAGAGUCUGGUGAUCUCCGCAUUUACUUUUCCUCGGAGGUUCCAUUUAUUUUUAUAAACUGUCAAACUAUUUUAUUCUUAGACCGCAGUAGUUGACUAGACGUCUUUAUUAUUGUUACAGUUGUAUGUCGGAUUGGUCUGACUGGUUAUAUUGCUCUGGCAUGUUAUGUAUUUAUUUCGGAUUAUUUAUGUUAUGCCUAUUUUAGACCCGGAAUUGAAUAAGUAUGUUAUAUUAACUGUUGAUUAUCAUAACUGCUAGUUUAGGCUGAAGUCUCGGUUGCCCCCGAGCAUUGGUUUUCUGCAGGUUUAUGUAUUUAUGAAUUAAAUGAAAGGCUAGCUACGGGUUUCGGUACUACAUUACCCAUACCCUAGCGCCGGUCGCGAUUCAUGAAAAUGGGUCGUGACAGUAGCAUGCUUGAUGAACUAGUAAUUAAAUGUGGUGAUUAUAAAGCCAAGAUGCUAUCCUUUAAAAAUGAAGCUUCUAAAGCUAAAGAUGAAAUGCUUGUUUUAACAAAAGAAUUUCAUGAAUUAAAAUUGUCUAAUGAAGCUCUCAAGUCAUCUUUAGAAUCUAUCCCUAAGUAAGGUUUGAAUGUUGAUAACUUGCUUAAGGAAAAUGAUCAACUAAAGAAUGAAAUUUUUGAAUUAAAAGAUUCACUUUCAAGAUUUCAAAAAGGGAAGACAGCCUUGGAUACAAUUCUUGUAUCUCAAAGAUGCCCAACCAUAAAAUUUGGACUUGCCUAUAAUCAAAAUGCUUCUAGUUCCAAUGAAACUAAAUUUAUGAAGUCCAUUUUGCCUCAAACGUCUUCUAUAAAAGUUCCUCCUAAAUUGGUCAAACCAAUUGAGGCAAAGAAGAUGCAUGUUCAAGCUCCUAUGGCUAAGCCAUUCUUGGCUCAAAAGGCUAAGAGCAACAAGGGUACAAAACCCUUUAGACAUGGCUAUGCUUCUCAAUAUAGUCACAAGUGGAACAAGAAAACUAGAAAGAACUCGCAUGCUCAUGUUUUUUCACAUGUCAAAUCUUGUUCUCAUACUUGUGCUUGUUCUUAUGAGACCUCUAGAGUCAAGCCACUUCAAAUGCAAUCAAAUGUGAACCAUAGAAUUCAAUGUUUUUAUUGUUAUGGUCACACUAAUGUUCAUUGCUAUGUGAGAAAAAUUCAAUUAAGGUUAAUUUCUUUGAACUAUUCAAGCAUUAACUUUCAAGGACCCAAAGUUGUUUGGGUACCUAAGUGAUUUGCUUUGUAGGUCCACUAAAUCAAAUUCAAUAUCUUAUGGUGGAUGAUCAAAGAAAGCUUUUGGAAAAUGACAAGAUAGGUAACACUUGGUGGUCUUCCAUGGAAGUCCGGUGGCGGAGAGCGGUGUUCGAACGGAGGUGGUGACGGAAAGUGGCGGCUGGUCCGAAGG